CGUCCCCGGGGACGGGCGGGCCGGGCUGGCGCUGCCCGCGCCGCUCUCCCGGCGGGGCGCUUGGAGCGGCCGUAACGCAACAAAAACCCGUCCGCUGUGCCUGCCCCCACCGCCAGAGGCAGCGGGAGAGCGCUAGCUGCGCUGAAAUGUGGGGGUUACCCCGGAACGCACCGAAGAUGAGUUGCAUGAGGUAGAAAUCACUCAGCUGUGAUCAACGGAUUGGAGAUGAAAGAAAUAUACGAGUUCUCAGUAACAUUUUCUAUUAGAAAAAGAAAACAGAAAGAAAAGCAGCAGGGAAGAAGAACAGGAGGAUAAAGGAAAUAAAGUGAGGGGACCGUGGCUCGAGUUUAGGAUACCACAAGUUAUGGAGAUUCCCAAAGAAAUUUUGCUUUCACUUCUUAAACAUCACAGGCUGAAAGCAUGGAAGAGGUGAUGAAAAUAAUGAGACAAACAAAGCAGAGUGAACAUUUGCAUUUUCAUCUUGAAGUGCAUCUCAAGACCCUGAAAAAUGUGUCUUCUGGUUUGUGCAGACCAGGCCUGAGUGUGUUGUUGCCCUGGCCAAUGUGAGGGAGUGCAGGUAAAAAGGAGAUUGCUGUUCAGAAUUCCUCUGCCUCCAAUGUAGAUUAUUUUCAGAAUGCAGCACUCCAUAUGAGAGAGACACAUAUGAGUGCACACGCAUACCCUAAAGCAGAAUUGCAACAUUUACAUUUGUUUCCCAUCUUAAGCUCUUGCUGGGGACUAAAAAUCAAUGAGAGUCUGCAUUGCACCCCAGAAGUGUCUGCUUUUCACUGAUCUCAGAUCCCUGGUGUACUCAGGAGGCAAGCUCCUUCAACAGGAUCCUCCUUUAUGAGACUUAGGGAUUCUCAGAUUAAAUCCACUGCUUCUAUUUCCAUCCAUCUUCUCUGGGCAGGUGAUCAACCCUUAGCAGUGACUACAAGAGGAGCACUGGAGGACUGACGGGAUGAAAGGAUGCCUGCUGACCCAUGGAAGACCAGCUAGAAUGCCUGAACUCUGCUUCCCAGUUUUGCACAAGCAAGAAGUGAAAUGUAGGGCAGGUCAUCUACAGCCACAGCAGCAGAGAUUUAUCUACUUGAGUGACAGGAUGAUGCCUUCAGAAUAUUUGUUAAAAUGGUAACAAACAUCUGUGUAUAAAGUGGAAAACA